UAAUUCUAUCAUAUGAUUCUUCCCGAAAAAAGAAGAUCUAUGCUUACACUUUUGUUUUAGAAGACGUCACAUAAUGUUGCAUUAUUAUACCUAAAGGGAAGCAUAGGGGUGAAACACUUUCAAUUUUUUUGAUAUCUGGAUUAAGCUUAAAUGAAUAUAGUUCAUGAGAUAGCCAUAAGGUUAUAAGAUUUUAUGGGGGCAGAAUAGUAAGAAUUGUUUUUAGCGGAAUAAAGUUCUAAGCUAGAUAUAAUAUUAUAUAAUUUUUAUUUAUAAACAUCUGUCCAAUAGGUUUAUAGUUAAAAAAAUUAUUUGCAGUUAAGUUAAUAAUGUUUAAAUUAGUAAAAAUUAAUAAGUUAACUGAAGGAACUUGGCAAAUAUAGUUUUCAACUAGUUUACCAAAAACAUAGCUUUAAGAAAAAUUCAAUAUAUUUAAAGUAAAAUCUGCCCAGUGAUAAUAUUUAACGGCCGCAGUACACUGACUGUGCUAAGGUAGCAUAAUAAAUUGACUUUUAAUUGGAGUCGGGUAUGAAUGGAUAACUGGAAACUUCCUGUCUCAAAGUUAAUUACAUUUAAUUUGCUUAAAAGGUGCAAAUUCCUUUAAUGUAUACAUGUAAGACGAGAAGACCCUAAGAAUUAUAAUUAAGAAAGUACUAAUUAGCUUUACAAAUUUUUGUUGGGGCAACAAAAUUGGUACACCAAUUCAUAAAAUAACAUCAACACAAAAUUAUUUUAUAAAAUGAAAUAAAUUACCUUAGGGAUAACAGCAUAAUUAAUUAAUUAGAUUGUGACCUCGAUGUUGGACUAAGGACUUAAUUAAAUAGCCUUUAAUAAAGAUAGUUCUGUUCGAACUGAGAACCUUA
rnacentral:rRNA from 1 species